rnacentral:rRNA from 1 species
GACGAACGCUGGCGGCGUGCUUUACACAUGCAAGUCGAACGGAAAGGCCCCGCUCUUGUUGGUUGCUCGAGUGGCGAACGGGUGUGUAACACGUGAGUAACCUUCCCUUUACUUUGUGAUUACUUCAGGAAACUGGGGCUAAUACCUGAUAGGAGCUCCUGCUGGCUGGUGGGGGUUGGAACGUUUCGGCGGUUGGGGAUGGACUCGCGGCUUAUCAGCUUGUUGGUUGAGUAGUUGCUUACCAUGGCUUUGACGGGUAGCCGGCAUGAGAGGGUGGCCAGGCACAUGGGGACUGAGAUACGGACCAGACUCCUACGGGAGGCAGCAGUGGGGAAUCUUGCACAGCGAGCGGGAGCCUGAGGCGACAACGCUGCGUGCGGGAUGACGGCCUGCGGGUUGUAAACCGCUUUCGCCUGUGACGAUGCGUGAGUGACGGUAAUGGGUGAAGAAGCACCGGCUAACUACGUG